rnacentral:lncRNA from 1 species
UGAGGCUGACCACAAUUUCCUGGCAAUCCAUGUAAAAGGAAAAACAAGUGUCUACCAGAAUAACCUUUUGUUCAUCUGUGAACUUUGAUUUGAAGUUGGUCAACACAUUCUUGGUCACAUUGGUUGUAAUUUUACCAGGAAACCAUAGGCCUUGGGGGGAUUAUGUAAUUCCAUUCCUGUAAGACAUUAUGAAAAUUGGAAACAGAUGUCAAAAACCUUUAUCAUGCACACAUGCAAAUCGAGACAUAAAACAUAUAAUCACACAGGUCACAACCAUUUUGCACAACACACUAAUUCAGUCACAAGUGUAUUCGAAAAAUUGUAAAACACAUGUUACCAAUAUGAUUUCAAAAAUUACUCAAAACAUGUACAACAACCAUAUCCAAUAACAUGGGGCAAUUUCCAUGGUCAUAAAUCUGCAUGUCACAAAAAUUGGUCACAAUCCCACAAGUCACAACCAUUUAGCACUUGACACCGUUGAGUCACAAAACGUAAUCGAACAAUUCCACUUCACACCGUUGAGUCACACAAGGAUUACCAAUAAAUCACGUCAAAAAUUGAAAAUUUCCCCAUCAAUAAAGCACUACUCCGUUCAAAGUCACUCAGUGGGUUCAAAAAUAAAUUGCCCAUAUGGCCAUUUAACUCAAUAGACUGCAGAGAAUACUUACAUUGUUCGAUUUUCGUCUUCGAGAUUCAAUCGAGGUUUUUGGGGUUCCAUCG